UUCAUCUUUUUCUCACUCACAUCUUCCUCCUCCACGGCGCCGCGCCGUUUCCAUCUUCAAUUCCACCACCACUAUUAUUUACAGUAGCACCACCAUUCUAAUGGGGGUUAUAAAUGGAAUAUGGGUUUCAUGUAUCAUAUACCAUGGAAGGAUGGAAAGUGGUUGAUUUAUCGGCAAUGCGAUGUUGAUUGGAAAAUUGAGAUGAAUCAAAAUCAAACAUUCAUGAUUUAUUAUUUAUCCUCCAGGCACCGAUUCCUGGUUCCGCUGCUUAUCUGGCUGGUUGAUUUUUCGUUCGGGGAAGAUCACAACAACGACCAGCAUACGGGACUUUAGCAAGGAUGUGUAAAACGUCACCAAAGGGAUGCAUCAUAACAUGGACAUGUAAUAGCCUCAAAAUAUUUUACGGAUGAUUUUUCCUAAAAUUGUGAUGUGAUGCUGAGAGAAAGCAAGUGACUUAAGAAGAUUAAAUUUUAAUUGAGAAAGCUUAAAGACAAUGCUUGUGACGAUGUUAAUGACUUAAUGAAUGAAAUUUCUUAUGAAACCUGUUGCGUCUAAGCCGAUAGAGGAGUUUGAAGUAUGUGAUUUCUGCUCAUCCCCCGAAUUCGUUUCAAGUUGGUUAAAUUAGAGGUUUCGCCAAUGAUAUGGUUAUCCGAUUUCCAUAAUGACUUCUCCUCUCACCAGUACUUAGAUCAGCUGGAGACAUCGACCGUCAACCAUAAAUUCUUUUGCAGACAAAACUUUAAUUGGUGGGAACUACGGUCUUCUCUUCUCAGUAUCACAACUAUGGUUCUGACAAGGAAGUGGAGGGCAUUGAUAUAGUGGCAGUGGUCCAAUUCAAGACAGAAGGGAAUCAUGUCAUAUUGAGGCACUUAGUAUGGCACAUUUGUGGUCCAGUUCAACUACAUUGUAAUCUUAAUUCAUACCCUUGUCUUGAUCACCUCUUGGAGCCGUCUAGUAAUGUAGUCUGGUAUAGCUACAUUUGAAUCUUUCAAGGACAUGGUGCAGGAGAAUGAAAGUGAACAUUGCUUGGGAGGCCUUACUGUUUUCAAUGGUACCUCAGUAGGUGACUUGCUAUGCCUGCUCGAAGCAUUGUGAUUGGAUCAAGCAACAAACUUAAUUGUGAUUGGGUCAAGCAACAAACUUAAUUGAUGUGGUAAAUCAGUUUAGUGUUACAUUUGUACCUCCCAGUGUGGCGGAGAAACAGAAAAAAAAAAGCACUUCAA